rnacentral:misc_RNA from 1 species
CCGUCAGAGAGCUCGACAACAAAUGAAUUUUUCACCAACCUUCUCUGGGCACGGUCGUGACUCUUAAAAAACAAGUCAAAAUACCAUUGUGUAACACAUAAGGGUUUCUAAGAAAUAACUUCUGCGUGGCGACUGCACGUGAUACUCACUGGAAACAUAGACUUUGUUUGAAUAAUGUUAAACUCAUCGAGGAAGUGUCGUGUCAUCGCCAGAGCCUCGGAGAGAGGGGCGUGAUCGGCGUGAGUGGACGGAGUAUGCUUGAGGAGAUCCUGAAAUUUCAGUGAUUCAGGGGUCGGUGACUCCAAACUACCUUCGCUCAAACUAAGCGGCUCCGCGUCGCUACUUCCCGUUUCAUUGUCAGUGCUCAAGGCUCGGAGCAGCAUCGGUGGUGCCGGACCGGCGCCCUCUUCAUCCUCGCUGUCCAUAGCAGCUCUGUGCCUGCGCACACAUUCGCUUAUCAUGAUCAAAGCACAAGCCAUGGGAUUCAGGCAAGGAUGGAGGCCUGCGAAGGGGCACCCGAUUACUAUUAGCAAUAGGUGGGACUCGUGCAUCAAUGUAAACGUACUCUCCGGUCUGGUCUAAAGCUACCGAGUCGUAAUAAGGCUCCUCCUCCGAUGCUUCCGCAUCCCCAUCUUCAGCUUCUUCGCUUAUUCUGUUUUUUGAGUCUGCGGGCCAUAACGCUUUGAUAAUAUCAUAGUUAAGAGUCUGGGAAUCGAGCGAAAUAAUUGAAAUUGGAUUGACCGGUAACAAUAGGAAAGAACAACUUGGUGACCUCACCUUUUUCAUUCUUGUUUUCGGUGAGCGCUUGGCUAUUGUCCUUUUUAGUACUACCGGUCACUUCGAUAACGGUCACAUAG